CGUCUUCGCAAUGAAUCAAGCAAUUCGUGUGGGAACUUGUGGCGACGGUGAUGUCUUCGAUUAAGGAGGUGAUCC
rnacentral:tRNA from 1 species